GGCAAGAUGGCCGAGCGGUCUAAGGCGCUAGGGUCAGGUUAUCUGAUCUUAUAUGUUCUUCGGAAUAUUCCUAGUCUCGAAAGGGGCGUGGGUUCGAAUCCCACUCUUGUCA